rnacentral:rRNA from 1 species
AUGAUUGUGCCGAGUAGCGGUCGUUGGCCGUCCACCUCCAGAGUAAGCGGUCCGGCUUGUUACCGAAAAAGGGUUUCCCCCCGCUUUGUAUUCCAAAGCAAACAACACCGAUACAGGAUUGCUGGGGCGAACAGCACAACAAGCCAAAAUGAAAAAGAAGAAGAAGCAAAUGCCAACAAUGGCAGCUCGACAAGCGCGGAUGACCCGCCACCGCUACGCCCACCAGAGACAAACCACUACAGCCCGAGGCUCCGAGCCACCGCGAACAAAACAGCACCUCCAAGAAGGAAAGCGAUGCCAAUGACGCUGCUGCCCGGACAUGUCCUAGGGUUUCCCCGGCAUGCGGAGGGAGGUGGGGGAUGGAUAUCACCGACACCCUUCAGGAAGGAAUGGUGGCACCCGUAG